GGCCAGUUAGCUCAGUUGGUUACAGCACAUUGCUGUUAACACUGAGGUCCAGGGUUUGAUCCCCGGACUGGCCC